UAGGAAUUGGCGGGGGAGCACCACAAGGGGUGAAGCCUGCGGUUCAAUUGGAGUCAACGCCAGAAAUCUUACCCGGAGAGACAGCAGAAUGAAGGUCAAGCUGAAGACUUUACCAGACAAGCUGAGAGGUGGUGCAUGGCCGUCGCCAGCUCGUGCCGUGAGAUGUCCUGUUAAGUCAGGUAACGAGCGAGAUCCCUGCCUCUAGUUGCCACCAUUACUCUCAGGAGUAGUGGGGCGAAUUAGCGGGACCGCCGCAGUUAAUGCGGAGGAAGGAAGGGGCCACGGCAGGUCAGUAUGCCCCGAAACUCUGGGGCCACACGCGGGCUGCAAUGGUAAUGACAAUGGGUUCCAAAUCCGAAAGGAGGAGGUAAUCCCCAAACAUUACCACAGUUAUGACUGAGGGCUGCAACUCGCCCUCACGAAUAUGGAAUCCCUAGUAACUGCGUGUCAUUAUCGCGCGGUGAAUACGUCCCUGCUCCUUGCACACACCGCCCGUCGUUUCAUUGAAGUGAGCUUUUAGCGAGGUGACGUCUGAUUG
rnacentral:rRNA from 1 species